rnacentral:tRNA from 1 species
UGGGCGGUAGCAUAACGGUAUUGCAGUCCGCUGUUAACGGACAGAUUGUAGGUUCGAGUCCUACCCGCCCAGCCA